CCUCCUUCCCGCAACCGCCCCCACCACCCGAUCCACCUCUGUGCGCCGGCCCACCCCAAGACCAACCUCCGCCAUCGCGCCCACCUUCCUCCUCCUCCGGGCCACCACACAACCUCCCUCCUUCUCCCGCCCGCUGACCUCUCCUACCCACCUUCUCCCUCCAUGCCCUACCCGCCCCGCGGCGCACACCCACACCCCCAGGCGGCGCCCUGUGCCGGAUCCAGGCCGCGGCACACCCCCGCACCCGCCCGGCGACGCCCUGGGCCGGAUCCAGGCCGUGACACACCCGCGCACCCCCCCGGCGACGCCCUGGGUCGGAUCCAGGCCGUGGCGCACCCCACCCUCUCCGGCAUGGCGCGCACCACCCGAGACGCCGCGCACCCUCCCCACAUUCAACACGCACAGUGCGGAUCGACCAGCACCAGAUCCGGUCGCCGUGCCCGCUCGCCUCCCUGCCGAUCGGCCUCCUCCCUCCCGGCUGACGCCGCCUCCUCUCACCCACCAACCAAGCCCUCGGGCGGAGCCCCGCCCCACCACGGAUCGCCGAAUCCCGCCCGCCAUGAGACCAUCAUGCACUGCCCCACGCCUCAACCUAGCCGGCUGCCCCCACCAACCUUCCCCCAGUGAGGGCGAGAUGCUGCACAAACGUGGCAGCCGCCAAGGCUUCCCCUCCUCCGCAUCCGGCGGCCAUGGAGAUGGGGAAGCGUCGGGUGAGGUCCGACAGUGCUCCUUCGUGCAGCUCAGAACGCCCGUGCAUAGGUGAGUUUUUUUGUUCAAGUUGCAGCUCACUCCACCCACAUGUGUGCUGCAGGGGAGUCAGCGGGCGAGCCGCAUCCUCCUCUGAGGUGCGGGCGCAUAGAUGGCCACCGACGACCUUUGAGAUGGGCCACCCCUUCCCCUCGCUGUCUCUUCCCCUGAGAGGGGAUCCAGAGCCCGAUGAGCCUACCGAAUCGGGUCGUCGCCAGAGCCACCAUGGGAAUCCCACGAACACACGCAUCUAUGCAGUAAGCACAGCCAUGGAGAGCCCGCCGCUGCAGUUUGUGGGCGAUGCAGUUGGGUUGCCUGCAGCUCACCUUCGGCGUGCAGUUCGCCGGCAUCGGCAUGCGGUCCGGCUAUGCGCGCAUUGCAAAGAUUGGGCCCGACGGCAGUGCUGAUGCCCGACACUUGAGUCCGCUAUUGUUAAUUGCUGCAGUUUCAGAUUAAUUUCUUUUGUAGAAGAGAAGCCAAGAAGCAAACAAAGAGAAAAGAAGUGCACUACACACCCACUAAAAAAAACUUGAUGAUCGUUUGCUAAUUAAAUCAUGCAGUUAAUGUGUAUUAUGAAAAAGCAAAUAGUGAAAGAAAAAGUGCACUGCACUGUUUGCAGUGGGCAAUGCGGCAAAAGGUAGCCCAUGUGGUUCAGUUAGUUGCUGGUGGUGCUCGAGAGCUAAUUCUGCUCUGUAGAGAUGUAUGUAUGACUGUAUGUUUGCCUAGAGAUUCAUUAUUUUUUACCUUUUUGCAUCAAGAAUAUCAUGCAAAUGCAAUGCACUUUGGUCUUGAAAAAAGUCCAUUACGAAGGACUUUUCACACAA